AAUUGGGAGAAAGUUGCACUUGCAGAUCUCAGGCAAUGCUAGAUUUCAGCAUCAGUGUCGGCCCUUGUGAAAAGAUAACUGCCCAGGUAGGAGAAGUGAUCGACACUUUCCAAAGUUACACCAUCGAGUUGGAUUUGUGGCACUGCCACAAAAGGGGUUGUUUUGUGCUUAUUGGUGCAGCACUUUGGGUUUUUUUGGGAUGUUGAGUGAUAGGCCAAGCUUUUUGUAAGCUUCUACAAAUAGAUUUAGGAUGGUUUGGAGGUUAUCCUCUGAGUGUGCACACACUACAUUGUCAUCAGUAUACUGAAGCUCUAUGACAGAAGUUACGGUAAACUUACUCUUUGCUUUCAGCCUACUCAGAUUAAAGUACUUUUCAUCAGUUCGAUAUAUGAUUUCUACUCCAGUGGGGAGUUUCCCUUUGACAAAGUGUAGGAUCAUGGCAAUGAGAAUAAUAAAUAGAGUCAGGGCGAUAACACAACUGUGUUUAACACCUGAUCCCACUGUGAAUGGUUCACUUUGAAAGCCAUUGUUAUCUGCGAUUGCUGCUGUCAUAUAAUCAUGGAGGAGUUGAAGGAUGUUCACAAAUUUAUCUGGGCAGCCAAUUUUCAGAAGGACAGGUCACAGGGCGUUACGAUUUACAAUGUGGAAGUUCUUAGUCAGAUCAAAAACGCCAUAUGCAGUGGUUGGUUUUGCUCUCUGCAUUUUUCUUGAAGCUGUCGAGCGGUGAAAACCAUGUCCUGUAGGUUUAUUGUUGCUCAAUCAAUUGGCUACUCUUUCUUCCCUUUAGCUCUCGUGCUUCUGGAUUCUAUGCUUCCGUGAUACCAGUCUUCAACUUGCCCCACAAAGCUAUUCCUGGCCUUAGUUUUAGGCUUUAAUUCCAGCUGGACUGACAGCUUUCCCUUCCCUCAUACUUGAUACCGAGAGCUUUGUUCUAUAAGCACCCAGAAUGUGUGAAAAUUUUGUGCUACUUCAGCAACUCAGGCAAUUGGUGUCAAAGGCCUCACUUCUUCUGCAAGCACAAGAAAAUAUUGAUUGCCCACUUGGCAUUCUCUUUCAAAUGGGUGUGACGUUGGCCACUGUAUUAACUGCGGGCAGAAACCUGAUUAGAAGCAAGUGUUACCAUAUGCAAAUUGAGAUGAAUAGCUUGGCAGGUUAUUGCUAUUCAUUGCCUAUUACAUGAAAAGCAAAGGCAGGACAAGGAUAAAUGUAACUGUGAUAAAGAUAUCUAUGCUCAAAUCAUUUUAGUGAGCAGCAGCAAUUGUAGCAAUCCUGGCAAGCAUUAAAUUAGUUUUCCAAGUUUAUUUUCUUGCAUUACUUGCAACGGUCCAGAGGUACACAAUCUGGAUGGUUAUCAUAGGAUAGUGAAUGCAUGACCUUUUUAUAAAUCAAUGCUUGGGAAAGGACUGGGAACUUGUGGUCCUCUGGAUAUUGUUCAACUUCAGCCCCAUCAACCUCAGAAAUCAUGGCUAAUGGUCAGGAUGAUUGAAGUUGCAGUCCAACUUUAUCUGCAGGGCCUCUGCUUCCUCAUUGCUAUCAGGGCUUUGCUUAACACACUGCUGUCAUUUUCCUUGCUUAGUCUGUUUAUUACCUUUUUGAUAAGCUCCAAAGACUGAGCAUUGCAGCAUCUUACGGGUGAAUUUGUCUUAGUGGUUGAUAGUGGUGACAUCACUGACUUGGUGGGAAUUUGUGUCCAACAACUGGAUGCACAACAUUGGCUGCACCUGGUUUAGAAGAAGCCAGUGGCUGCAGAAGAUGCAUGGUCACUUUUGAUUCAAUAGAUGCAGCACUUGGGCAGAGGGCUUUAUACCUUACACUACAUACCUUACACUAUAAAUCUCUUUAUGUUGCUCCAGGACAGUGCUGUGACAGCGCCUUAGCAGCAAGGCUGCUAACCAUGGUCCUGACUCAGUGGCUUUGUCCAGGGUCCUGGUCUUGUCUAGAUUUCCCUUCUAAUUCAGAACCCUUGGGCCUACCAGUCUCCAACCGGCUUGGGUCACCAUCUUCUCCUGUCUUUGGUGGACAUCACUAUUGUGGCUGUAUGGUACAACUCAAACUGUUUUUCAGGAUGCAGCAGAACAGUCAUGUGUUUUAAUUUUAGUUAAUGUGUUCCUUUUGCUACCUGCUGCAAGAAAGAGGGAGAGAGAGUGCAGAUUCCCUUUAAACCCUGCAAGUGAUCUGAGGCAGCCCUUGUCAUUUCUCUUGUCAGGGGAAGUUAAUCAAACACACUGACCUCGUGCAAUGUAAGCUGACUCCUGCCACAUUUUGUUAUUGGCAUUACUGAAAGACUUUGAGGGGCAGGCAGUUGGGAGUGCUCUGUAGCUUGAGCCCCAACCUCCCCACUAGAAGCAGAUGGUGAAUGUUCUGCUACAACCUCGUCACUCUCAGCUGUCUUGGUUUGGUUGGUUUGGAGUUAACUGCUGCAGCUACUUGCAGGGAGUUAGGUUUAUGAGCAAGCAACUCCAGUUCCCUUAGCACAGCUUUUCCCAACUUGAUGCCCUUCAGAUAUAGGUUUUACUAGAACUCCCACCAGAUCUGGCCAGCAUGGCCAAUGGUCAGGGAUAAAUUGAGUUGUAAUCCAAUGACAAAUGGAAGCUACCAGGUUGAAAAAGUCUGCUCUAACAUUUACAAAGCUGGUUCAGCCAAACACACAUUUACAUUCCUUGAUUUCUCUGUGCUAUGAUUCCUUUAGCAGCUGAUGACUGGCAGUUAAAUGUGUAAAUGGACUCUGUGGAAUAGCGUUGUGCUUUGAAGUGAUAGGAAGCAAUGUGAAAGGUGCAAGAUUUGUGAUGGCUCAGACCCAGUGUGGUGUGCUGGUUAAAGGUUUUAAGACAGCAAGACCCUAGAUCCUCACCUAACUAUGAAACUCACUGGCUGACCUUGGGCCACACACUUGCACACCUGUUAAAGGAAUCAAAGCACUUGAGGGUAAAAGAGGUUGAGGGAAAGAGAAGAAGUGCCAAGUACUUUGCCUUGUGUGCCUUGGAGGGUAGGUGAAACAUAAAUAUUACAGUGAUAUUUAAAACCCACACAUGUUACUUGUUGCAGACAUCAAGGUAUGAUCAUGUGUGCUUGAACCAAUCUGUUUCCUAUUGUUCUGAGUGGUGCAUCCUCUGAUUUGUGGAGGUUCUCAAAACACUGCAAUUAUCCAGGCAUUCUGCAUGUGUAGCUUCUAUGUGCAGAGAAAAGGAGCAGCGGGAUCAUGCUGAUACUAAUGUUGGGGUGUUUGGGGUAUUUUGUUUUGGAGGGGGCUGUUGCUUCUUUUCAACCUUAUUUUAGAUCUUGUUGUGAUUUAUGUGGAAAUUGUUCAGUUUGGCUAUGUAUUUAUUUAUGUAUUAUUUAUUGUUUAUGACUGCUUUUGCUGUGUUGUAGUUACAUAUUUUUUCAUGUUGAAAGCCCCCUUGGGCAUGGUUUGAACUCUGGAAAGGUGGCAUACAAAUAAAAUUAUGUAUGUAUGUAUCUAAUAUUUUCACUGAACAUGCCCCUUGGACGUUUGCUUAUUGGCACAGAGACACCUGCAUUGGAAAGCCUGUACACAUUAUCUUCCACUUGUAAAAGUGAGCAAGCAUGGAGUACUAACAUAAUACUGAGAGGGUGCUCUGCGUUGUCAUCAGUUAUAAUCAGUUUUGCUUACUUGUGUGGAUUCCUAUCCCACCCUCCUUCACUCAAAUAAUCCUAGGUGGAUCACAUAAUGAAAUCAGAGCAUACAAUCCACAACAACCAAAGCAUUGAUAUGCAGCAAUAAGCAUCUAAUAAGCAAAAUUUUUAAGAUUUGCAGCAAGAAUACCAAACCCUACCCACAAAAAUGUACCACUACUGGCCUUCCCAGUGUUAUGUCUACAGCUGUUCUUCUCUUCAGGUUUAUGGGCUGCCAAAGCAGUGUACAAUAAAAUUAAAAUGAAACUCAAUAAAAACGACAACAAAGUAACCAUGGCAUAAAACACAUACAGAUGGGUACAAGACAGUCUAAAGCUUACAAACCCAGAGAUUUAAGAGCUUCAUUUGUUUUAUUACAUAUUUAUAUAAUAUUUAUUUGUAAUACAUACAAAUGAAAAUAAAAUUAACAGGUAAGUAUCCAAGGGGGCAGGGACGCGGGUGGAGCUGUCGUCUAAACCACAGAGCCUAGGGCUUGGCGAUCAGAAGGUCAGCGGUUCGAAUCCCCGCAAUGGAGUGAGCGCCCGUUGUUUGGUCCCUGCUCCUGCCAACCUAGCAGUUCGAAAGCACGUCAAAGUGCAAGUAGAUAAAUAGGUACCCCUCCGGCAGGAAGGUAAACGGUGUUUCCGUGCACUGCUCUGGUUUGCCAGAAGUGCCUUAGUCAUGCGGGCCACAUGACCUGGAAGCAGUCGGCAGACAAACGCCGGCUGCCUCGGCCACUAAAGCGAGAUGAACACCGCAACCCCAGAGUCGUCAGUGACUGGACCUAACAGUCAGGGGUCCUUUUACCCAAGGGGGCAAUGCAAGAGAUGGAAUCUUAAACAGCAGCACUGCAACCAUUUGUUGCAGAUCUCAGGCCUAUCUUUUAUGGAAAGCAAAUGUUUGGGUGUUAUUUUGCGAGACCAAAUAAUCCCUUGCCACACACAAAAGCAACCUCUUCAUUGCUGCCUGAAGUAUUACAGCCUGGGCAGGGGUAACAAUAACUCAUAAUUAAGCUGUGAUGGUCCACGGCCCUUGCAACUUUACAGCUUGUAGUCACAGUUUUAUUAAGUAAACAUGCGUCUCCCUCCUCUUUUGUAUUCAGGGCACUAUUUUUUAAUUUGUGAUGAAUACCUAGAAAUGUCACUCAUCUUGUUCAGGUGUACUUCCAGGGCUGUGAGUUUUAAAUGGUAAUGGGAUUUGUAUCUACCCACUUAUGAAUGCUUUCCAAUUUGUCUCUCUCCUCCUGUUUCACUUUCAAAUAGAACUGGCAUUAUUUCCUAUGAGUGCAUUCCAUUAUUUAUCAUAAAGCUUGCUUGUGCUUUUUUAAUUGGUUUUUGGUUUUCUUCAAUCUCACUGUAAUAAUUUGAUUUUUGUCUCCAAUAUUCAGUCAGGCUUACCAUAUGUUGAACAUCGUUUACACUUUUUUCUUUUCUUUUAAAGCUUCUUGCUGUGGUUGUGUUUU
rnacentral:lncRNA from 1 species